GAUGAACGCUAGCUACAGGCUUAACACAUGCAAGUCGAGGGGCAGCACAGAGAUAGCUUGCUAUCUUGGGUGGCGACCGGCGCACGGGUGAGUAACGCGUAUCCAACCUGCCCAUUACUCUGGGAUAGCCUUGCGAAAGUAAGAUUAAUACCGGAUGUUGUUAAAAACCCGCAUGAGUUUUUAACCAAAGAUUUAUUGGUAAUGGAUGGGGAUGCGUGACAUUAGGUAGUUGGUGAGGUAACGGCUCACCAAGCCUACGAUGUCUAGGGGUUCUGAGAGGAAGGUCCCCCAAACUGGAACUGAGACACGGUCCAGACUCCUACGGGAGGCAGCAGUGAGGAAUAUUGGUCAAUGGACGAGAGUCUGAACCAGCCAAGUAGCGUGCAGGAUGACGGCCCUCUGGGUUGUAAACUGCUUUUAGUUGGGAAUAAAAAGAGGGACGUGUCCCUAAUUGUAUGUACCAUCAGAAAAAGGACCGGCUAAUUCCGUGCCAGCCGCCGCGGUAAUAC
rnacentral:rRNA from 1 species